GAUGAACGCUGGCGGCGUGCCUAAUACAUGCAAGUCGAGCGAACAGACGAGGAGCUUGCUCCUCUGACGUUAGCGGCUGACGGGUGAGUAACACGUGGAUAACCUACCUCUAAGACUGGGAUAACUUCGGGAAACCGGAGCUAAUACCGGAUAAUAUAUUGAACCGCAUGGUUCAAUAGUUAAAGACGGCUUUGCUGUCACUUAUAGAUGGAUCCGCGCCGCAUUAGCUAGUUGGUAAGGUAACGGCUUACCAAGGCGACGAUGCGUAGCCGACCUGAGAGGGUGAUCAGCCACACUGGAACUGAGACACGGUCCAGACUCCUACGGGAGGCAGCAGUAGGGAAUCUUCCGCAAUGGGCGAAAGCCUGACGGAGCAACGCCGCGUGAGUGAUGAAGGUCUUCGGAUCGUAAAACUCUGUUAUUAGGGAAGAACAAAUGUGUAAGUAACUAUGCACGUCUUGACGGUACCUAAUCAGAAAGCCACGGCUAACUACGUG
rnacentral:rRNA from 1 species